GAUGAACGCUAGCUACAGGCUUAACACAUGCAAGCCGCGGGGUAACGAGAGGAAAGCUUGCUUUCCUUGUCGACGACCGGCGCACGGGUGAGUAACACGUAUGCAACCUACCCCUAACAGGGGGAUAGCCCGUCGAAAGGCGGAUUAAUACCCCAUAAUACACUGAUGCUGCAUGGCAUUAUUGUUAAAGAGUUUCGGUUAUGGAUGGGCAUGCGUUCCAGUAGCUAGUGGGUUGGGUAACGGCCUACCAAGGCAACGAUGGAUAGGGGAACUGAGAGGUUUGUCCCCCACACUGGUACUGAGACACGGACCAGACUCCUGCGGGAGGCAGCAGUGAGGAAUAUUGGUCAAUGGGCGAUAGCCUGAACCAGCCAAGUCGCGUGAAGGAAGACGGUAUUAUGUAUUGUAAACUUCUUUUGUAAGGGAAUAAAGUGUCUUACGAGUAAGAUUUUGUAUGUACCUUACGAAUAAGCAUCGGCUAACUCCGUGCCAGCAGCCGCCGUAA
rnacentral:rRNA from 1 species